CGCACUCACCGUCGCAGUCCGUCAGCACGGUGUCGAACGAAUUCAGGAAUCGCCGGACGUUCUGGCGGGUGAGCGCCUUGAUGUUUAUCGCGGACAUUAGCACCUUAAAAAAAGCAACGGCAUGUGUCACGGAUGUAUGACGUAUUUACCAGUUAUGGUCAGACAGACACGGUCCCAACGAUCAGUUCAAUACGGAUCAGCUGACAUUCCACUGACAUCUAUUACCUUGAAAAAAAACGGAGCUCUGUCAUCGAUAUAUACGCGAUGGGCUGCCUCGCAAUCUGCGAUCUCUCGAUUUCAGACUCUCUUUUGUGCGUGGAAUGACUAAGCCCGGAUCUACAAUAGGUGUAAUCUGGCCUAAUCAUGAUUCUUGUCAUUCGAUGCGUUCCGAGACGCAUCGAGAUAAAAACGAUUGAUUUUCCCGUCUAUUUCCGCUGGAAAAAGCACUUCAAUAAAAAAAAACCGAAAGGACACAAAAAACAAUAUAUAUAAUAACAAAUAAUAUAUAUAAUAACAAAUAAUACUUAAAUUUUUUUUAAUUAAAUUUUAUUUAUUUGAUUG
rnacentral:lncRNA from 1 species